rnacentral:lncRNA from 1 species
UGGCAAACAUUAAGCCGUCGAACUACCGACUCUAUAAGUUUCUGCAUGCUAUAUUCUCUUUGCCUAACACAUUCAACUACUUUUUUUUGAAAGCAGUCCGACUGCUGCUUUAAUACAGUUUGUUUAGGGUCUCUUUUUAUGUGGCUCUCCUUCUGGGAGGUAAUUACUGUUAGCGUAUAGCACCCCUCGUAAGCAACUCUUGGUUAUCCCGUAGGCCUCUAGCACACGCAACAAUCAAACUACUUAUUCAAUCUAUUCGUUUGGAUACGCGGUAAAUAAGGUGAAAGAAACGCGGUUGUGCAGCUCAAUAGGGCUUCUGUGA